GUGCCAGCCGCCGCGGUAAUACAUAGGUCCCGAGCGUUGUCCGGAUUUAUUGGGCGUAAAGCGAGCGCAGGCGGUUAGAUAAGUCUGAAGUUACGGCUGUGGCUUAACCAUAGUACGCUUUGGAAACUGUUUCACUUGAGUGCAGAAGGGGAGAGUGGUAUUCCAUGUGUAGCGGUGAAAUGCGUAGAUAUAUGGAGGAACACCGGUGGCGAAAGCGGCUCUCUGGUCUGUAACUGACGCUGAGGCUCGAAAGCGUGGGGAGCGAACAGGAUUAGAUACCCUGGUAGUCCACGCCGUAAACGAUGAGUGCUAGGUGUUAGGCCCUUUCCGGGGCUUAGUGCCGCAGCUAACGCAUUAAGCACUCCGCCUGGGGAGUACGACCGCAAGGUUGAAACUCAAAGGAAUUGACGGGGGCCCGCACAAGCGGUGGAGCAUGUGGUUUAAUUCGAAGCAACGCGAAGAACCUUACCAGGUCUUGACAUCCCGAUGCCCGCUCUAGAGAUAGAGUUUUACUUCGGUACAUCGGUGA
rnacentral:rRNA from 1 species